rnacentral:misc_RNA from 1 species
CGUACAUCAUUUCACGAUGACAACAGUUCGCGACUGUUCUUGCUCAGCGUUUUGGCCGGUCAACUUACAAUUAGUAGGGACUGCGGCUGGUGCAUUUAGCAAUUCUACUAUUCGGACCAUCACCCUAAUGACUCUUCGCAAUGGAAGUGUAUCCGCUCUCAGAGGAAUCCCCUACGCCCAGCCAUCAGUUGGAGAAUUAAGGUACCGCAACUCGCGAAAAUCCACAAUUCCCAAUUUCACCUCACAGGCUUACCUCCCCGGGCAAAAGACCGCGCUCUGAUUUAGCCCUGCAAUCGGCGUACGUAUUCUUCUUUCCAUCCACUAUACGAUCGUAACGAGGACAGGCUCUGAUGAAGAGUUCAGGGACCCGUUGAUCUGUUUAAGAAAGAACAAAUAAAAGACCAUCGUUAUUUUUUGAAAUUCGAACAAAUCUCAAAAAAUUCGACAAUCAGGAAACAAAGAGUUUUCAUUCGAGAUUGCAUUCCGAUCAACGGCAAAAAAUUUCGCACAAACUGUAUACUAUCUUGUUUAGAAUCAUUGUUACUAAUGUUAGACACACGAGUGUAAGUGCAAACAAAUCAAAUCACAGCAAACGUUAUGAAUCAUCGACCGAUCGUUCGUCGAUCGAUAUUUGUAUGAAUUCAAAGUUAGUUUUGUUAGGCCACACACUCACAUGCCUUCUCAUCUUGUUGUUCCGAGUCCGUAGGUUCACGGCAGUUUGGUCUUUGUAUGUAAAGACUUGGCUCCAGAGGACGUCCGUCCUGGUCUUCUACCUGUACAACGAGUCCAUGAUUGUUCGUAUUACGAGGAUUCAAGCGCCAGAAUUUCGAGCCCGGUUUAGCGUCAAGAACUAUGUAGGAUCCGGUCGUCGUCAAGGAAGUCAUGACUGAAUCCAUGAGGCGUUUUUUAGCUGAAAAUUAAAAACGAAGAAGACAAAUUACAAUUGAUUCUUGUUUUGGCCAAGUGUAGCUGUAGCUCACGUUCUCUGACGCAUGUAUAAU